rnacentral:rRNA from 1 species
GCGGCGUGCUAUACAUGCAAGUCGAGCGAACAGAUAAGGAGCUUGCUCCUUUGACGUUAGCGGCGGACGGGUGAGUAACACGUGGAUAACCUACCUAUAAGACUGGGAUAACUUCGGGAAACCGGAGCUAAUACCGGAUAACAUAUUGAACCGCAUGGUUCAAUAGUGAAAGGCGGCUUUGCUGUCACUUAUAGAUGGAUCCGCGCCGUAUUAGCUAGUUGGUAAGGUAACGGCUUACCAAGGCAACGAUACGUAGCCGACCUGAGAGGGUGAUCGGCCACACUGGAACUGAGACACGGUCCAGACUCCUACGGGAGGCAGCAGUAGGGAAUCUUCCGCAAUGGGCGAAAGCUGACGAGCAACGCCGCGUGAGUGAUGAAGGUCUCGGAUCGUAAAACUCUGUUAUCAGGGAAGAACAAAUGUGUAAGUAACUGUGCACAUCUGACGGUACUGAUCAGAAAGCCACGGCUAACUACGUGCCAGCAGCCGCGGUAAUACGUAGGUGGCAAGCGUUAUCCGGAAUUAUUGGGCGUAAAGCGCGCGUAGGCGGUUUUUUAAGUCUGAUGUGAAAGCCCACGGCUCAACCGUGGAGGGUCAUUGGAAACUGGAAAACUUGAGUGCAGAAGAGGAAAGUGGAAUUCCAUGUGUAGCGGUGAAAUGCGCAGAGAUAUGGAGGAACACCAGUGGCGAAGGCGACUUUCUGGUCUGUAACUGACGCUGAUGUGCGAAAGCGUGGGGAUCAAACAGGAUUAGAUACCCUGGUAGUCCACGCCGUAAACGAUGAGUGCUAAGUGUUAGGGGGUUUCCGCCCCUUAGUGCUGCAGCUAACGCAUUAAGCACUCCGCCUGGGGAGUACGACCGCAAGGUUGAAACUCAAAGGAAUUGACGGGGACCCGCACAAGCGGUGGAGCAUGUGGUUUAAUUCGAAGCAACGCGAAGAACCUUACCAAAUCUUGACAUCCUUUGACCGCUCUAGAGAUAGAGUCUUCCCCUUCGGGGGACAAAGUGACAGGUGGUGCAUGGUUGUCGUCAGCUCGUGUCGUGAGAUGUUGGGUUAAGUCCCGCAACGAGCGCAACCCUUAAGCUUAGUUGCCAUCAUUAAGUUGGGCACUCUAAGUUGACUGCCGGUGACAAACCGGAGGAAGGUGGGGAUGACGUCAAAUCAUCAUGCCCCUUAUGAUUUGGGCUACACACGUGCUACAAUGGACAAUACAAAGGGCAGCUAAACCGCGAGGUCAAGCAAAUCCCAUAAAGUUGUUCUCAGUUCGGAUUGUAGUCUGCAACUCGACUACAUGAAGCUGGAAUCGCUAGUAAUCGUAGAUCAGCAUGCUACGGUGAAUACGUUCCCGGGUCUUGUACACACCGCCCGUCACACCACGAGAGUUUGUAACACCCGAAGCCGGUGGAGUAACCAUUUAUGGAGCUAGCCGUCGAAG